rnacentral:ncRNA from 2 species
GUCCCUGCCCUUUGUACAC